rnacentral:lncRNA from 1 species
UCAGAGACUUCGAGUUGCCGGCGUGCUGGGGUCACAGAGGAGCACUAAUCUGAUGCCUGAGAAGGACAGAGCUUCUUAUUAAGGCCGGGAAAUGAUUCCAGACACACCACCCUUCAAGUGUGGGGCCUCGACUCUGACCACUGAGGUGCAGGUUCGGCUAGGCACUUUCAAAACCAGAUGCUGAGCGUGGCGCCUGCUCUAAUGCAGGAGCGUUGAUGGUUUUUACAAGCUCCUGGGGGUUUCUUCCUCCUCUAAAGGCUCCAAACUAGCUAGAAUUUUUGCUCUUCUAUUUAUAGCAUGGAGCUAAGUUGUUUUUUGUUUUGUUUUUUUAAAGGAUGCAAGUAAUUAAUUUUGAUUGAGAGCCUAUCUGUAAAAAAACCAGACAAUAUGUUGAUCAGAGGGCAGGCACAGUUUAAAAAAAAUACACCAGCAGAGUUAAAUGGGAACACGAAACCGUGACAAGCAUUCACAUUUGAAGAAGGAACUUUUCCCACAAGAACUGCAACAGAGGUUAAAAAUUUGUACCCAGAGCCCUCCCAGAAGUGAAAGACGUCAAUGUUUAGAGUAUAUAGAGCUGGCUCUUCGACACCCCUGAACCCCACUUCUCCAAACUCAGGAGCAGCGUGGUGCGACGAAGUGUGCGUGAGCUCCCUCACAGUUCCUACCCCAGCAGCACAUCACGGGCUGGGCGAGAUUCACUCCGCAUGGAUCAUUCUAGUCUUUCAAUUCACAGGGGCAAAAAAAUAA